rnacentral:tRNA from 1 species
GCUCGGGUCGCGUAACCUGGUAGCGCGCACGCCUGGAGAGCGUGUGGGUUUUUCCCUUGUGGGUUCAAAUCCCACCCCGAGCG